UGCAAGUCGAACGGUAGCACAGAGAGCUUGCUCUCGGGUGACGAGUGGCGGACGGGUGAGUAAUGUCUGGGAAACUGCCUGAUGGAGGGGGAUAACUACUGGAAACGGUAGCUAAUACCGCAUAAUGUCGCAAGACCAAAGAGGGGGACCUUCGGGCCUCUUGCCAUCAGAUGUGCCCAGAUGGGAUUAGCUAGUAGGUGGGGUAACGGCUCACCUAGGCGACGAUCCCUAGCUGGUCUGAGAGGAUGACCAGCCACACUGGAACUGAGACACGGUCCAGACUCCUACGGGAGGCAGCAGUGGGGAAUAUUGCACAAUGGGCGCAAGCCUGAUGCAGCCAUGCCGCGUGUAUGAAGAAGGCCUUCGGGUUGUAAAGUACUUUCAGCGGGGAGGAAGGUGUUGUGGUUAAUAACCGCAGCAAUUGACGUUACCCGCAGAAGAAGCACCGGCUAACUCCGUGCCAGCAGCCGCGGUAAUACGGAGGGUGCAAGCGUUAAUCGGAAUUACUGGGCGUAAAGCGCACGCAGGCGGUCUGUCAAGUCGGAUGUGAAAUCCCCGGGCUCAACCUGGGAACUGCAUUCGAAACUGGCAGGCUGGAGUCUUGUAGAGGGGGGUAGAAUUCCAGGUGUAGCGGUGAAAUGCGUAGAGAUCUGGAGGAAUACCGGUGGCGAAGGCGGCCCCCUGGACAAAGACUGACGCUCAGGUGCGAAAGCGUGGGGAGCAAACAGAUA
rnacentral:rRNA from 1 species